UUCAAAACAAGAGUGUCUGUCUCAGAAGCUGAAGAAAAAAGGCCACACCUUAUAGGAAAUAAACGCCUCCUAAGUGUAUGGAAAUACCUGGCUGAGGAGAUCAGUGACAUAAACCAGAUAAAACUGUCAGUGGUCUGAGACAGCUACAAGCCACAAAAACAGUUCAUAGUUCCUGCAUUUCUAUAAUGCAUUAAUGAAUAACAAUAAUUAAAAUAAAAUGUAAUGUCAAGGUUUUGUGUUAAUUCCAGCUAUGUUGAGUAUUCUGUGAAUAAUUUUGAUUUUAGGUGCAUAUUCUUAAUUCUUUGCAAAACAACCUGAACUGUUUGCUAUUGAAAGGUUGGUAUGAAGUUUAAAUAAAUAAAAACAUUAUAUUCUUGACAAAAC